rnacentral:rRNA from 1 species
GACGAACGCUGGCGGCGUGCUUAACACAUGCAAGUCGAACGGAAAGGCCCUGCUUUUGUGGGGUGCUCGAGUGGCGAACGGGUGAGUAACACGUGAGUAACCUGCCCUUGACUUUGGGAUAACUUCAGGAAACUGGGGCGAAUACCGGAUAGGAGCUCCUGCUGCAUGGUGGGGGUUGGAAAGUUUCGGCGGUUGGGGAUGGACUCGCGGCUUAUCAGCUUGUUGGUGGGGUAGUGGCUUACCAAGGCUUUGACGGGUAGCCGGCCUGGGAGGGUGACCGGCCACAUUGGGACUGAGAUACGGCCCAGACUCCUACGGGAGGCAGCAGUGGGGAAUAUUGCACAAUGGGCGGACGCCUGAUGCAGCAACGCCGCGUGCGGGAUGACGGCCUUCGGGUUGUAAACCGCUUUCGCCUGUGACGAAGCGUGAGUGACGGUAAUGGGUAAAGAAGCACCGGCUAACUACGUG